rnacentral:rRNA from 1 species
AACGAACGCUGGCGGCGUGCUUAACACAUGCAAGUCGAGCGGUAAGGCCCUUCGGGGUACACGAGCGGCGAACGGGUGAGUAACACGUGAGCAAUCUGCCCUUCACUCUGGGAUAACCCCCGGAAACGGGAGCUAAUACCGGAUAUGACCACUACACGCAUGUGUUGGUGGUGGAAAGUUCUGGCGGUGGAGGAUGAGCUCGCGGCCUAUCAGCUUGUUGGUGGGGUAAUGGCCCACCAAGGCUUCGACGGGUAGCCGGCCUGAGAGGGUGACCGGCCACACUGGGACUGAGACACGGCCCAGACUCCUACGGGAGGCAGCAGUGGGGAAUAUUGGACAAUGGGCGAAAGCCUGAUCCAGCAACGCCGCGUGAGGGAUGACGGCCUUCGGGUUGUAAACCUCUUUCAGCGCAGACGAAGCGAGAGUGACGGUAUGCGCAGAAGAAGCACCGGCCAACUACGUGCCAGCAGCCGCCGCAGUAA